rnacentral:rRNA from 1 species
UACCAGCACCCCGAGUGGUCGGGCCGAUUAUUGGGCCUAAAGCAUCCGUAGGCGGUCCUACAAGUCUUCCGUUAAAUCCACCUGCUUAACAGAUGGGCUGCGGAAGAUACUAUAGGGCUAGGAGGCGGGAGAGGCAAGCGGUACUCAGUGGGUAGGGGUAAAAUCCUCUGAUCCAUUGAAGACCACCAGUGGCGAAGGCGGCUUGCCAGAACGCGCUCGACGGUGAGGGAUGAAAGCUGGGGGAGCAAACCGG